UUCAAGAAUGGAAGCAGUACGAAGUGGGUACGAGAGUAAACAAAUGGUAAUGAAAGCAUUUGGGAUGUCUAACAAAGACAAAAAUUCCAUCUUAAUUCAACUGUUAGGAUGUAUCUUAAUCAAUGUUAUCUGCUGUGAGACAGAGAACGCACACAAGCUCCUCCUGAACUGAGCUGCUCUAGGAAGCUGAAUUCAGAUGGUGCCAUAGAGUGCGACUAACAUCUAGCACCAUUUGAAAUCAGUGUUCUUCGAGUUGAACAGACAUCAAGUGAAACCCAGAGGUUCUCCCAGCUGAGCUAAUGACUGGCACAGAUUUAUUUCACUAUAAUGAAUGUGUAAUGUUUGCUUCCUUGUUGCUUUAAUUGGAGUUUGUCAGCUUUUUCUUUUUUUUUUUUUAAAUAAAACUGAUUCAUUGCAGUUCAGUGCCAUAUUUGAUUAUUGAAAGCAGUUAACAUUUCAGAAUAAAAAGAGUGCAAGCUGA